rnacentral:rRNA from 1 species
CCUACGGGAGGCAGCAGUGAGGAAUAUUGGUCAAUGGACGAAAGUCUGAACCAGCCAUGCCGCGUGCAGGAAGACGGCUCUAUGAGUUGUAAACUGCUUUUGUACAAGGGUAAACCUGAAUACGUGUAUUCAGCUGAAAGUACUGUACGAAUAAGGAUCGGCUAACUCCGUGCCCGCAGACGCGGUAAUACGGAGGAUCCAAGCGUUAUCCGGAUUUGUUGGGUUUAAAGGGUGCGUAGGCGGAUUGAUAAGUUAGAGGUGAAAUGUCCGGGCUCAACUCGGGAACUGCCUCUAAUACUGUUGAUCUAGAGAGUAGGUGCGGUAGGCGGAAUGUAUGGUGUAGCGGUGAAAUGCUUAGAGAUCAUACAGAACACCGAUUGCGAAGGCAGCUUACCAAUCUAUAUCUGACGUUGAGGCACGAAAGCGUGGGGAGCAAACAGGAUUAGAUACCCCAGUAGUC